UCACUAAUGUUUGCCAUAAAACUGAAUA
rnacentral:piRNA from 1 species